UACGGAGGGGGCUAGCGUUGUUCGGAAUUACUGGGCGUAAAGCGCACGUAGGCGGCUUUGUAAGUAAGAGGUGAAAGCCUGGAGCUCAACUCCAGAACUGCCUUUUAGACUGCAUCGCUUGAAUCCAGGAGAGGUGAGUGGAAUUCCGAGUGUAGAGGUGAAAUUCGUAGAUAUUCGGAAGAACACCAGUGGCGAAGGCGGCUCACUGGACUGGUAUUGACGCUGAGGUGCGAAAGCGUGGGGAGCAAACAGG
rnacentral:rRNA from 1 species